AAGUGGCUGCCUGUGUGUUCCAACUGACCCACAGGACCAAAAUGACUAAUUUGGAUCCCCAUAAGUUUCAGCCAUUAGACACUGAACAGCUCCCAUUCUUC